UGGUGACAACGUUUUUGGAGAUUAUGAGA
rnacentral:piRNA from 1 species